GCAGGAGUAAAAGUUUAUUAAAAAGCUCCGCAGCAGAAAUGAAAGGAAGGAAAGUACACUUGGAAGAGGACCAAGCGGGUGACCUGAAAGACAAGUACACAGUUUCACCUUUUGACCUGAGGUCUUAUACAUUGGCAUACUUCUGGGGUCUUGCAUCCCUUCUCCCCUGAUUCUUCCCUUGGGGGGCCUGUCCGCAUGGACAGUGGCCUGCUAGCACUUGGGAGGGGAGUGUGCACACUGCGUUUCCCGGAGUUGUACCCAUGCUCACUGGAGGCCUUCUUCCCUUACCAGUCCAGUGUCCUUGGAGGAUCACAUGUCGGUUCAACUCCGCAAUUUGUGUAAGCCCACUUGCGCAGCUCCUGAGAUCUUACCGAGAAGCUGAUCACCAGUUUCAGGUUUUCUCUCUCUUUUGGGAGACGGCCUUUCCCUGGCCCCGCUGGAUCAAUUAUCAUUUUAGAGGGAGCAUAACAACCGCCUGACUGUCGCCUGAUGGUUGCCUGAGGCUCCUGGCUGGAAGCGUGGCCCUCUCCUGCCCUGUUCCAGUCUGACUAGCUACCUGCUGUCACCCCCCUUCCCUUUUAAGGACUUUUCUGGAAUAUUGCCUGUGCCACCUGCUUUUAUUCGCUGGCCAGAACUUAGUUACUGGCCAUCCCCGUGGUCUGUAUAGGAGACUGGACAAUGUGUAUUUCAGGCGUUGGGCGUCAUGUGUAGCCGCCGGAAUGCCUGUUCAGCCAUGGUCCAGCCUGAACGAGCGGGCCUCUUGCUUCAUUUUGCGGGGGAGCUGCUGCUUGCCCGCGGUCACCCCAGCGGUCUGACGGAGCCCUCAGCGCUCAGGGCCGCUCACGCCCCUCGGGGAUCCGCCCCAAGGAGAGCGGUCCUGAGGACCUGCCGGGCCUUUACCCCCGCGGAUUCUGGCUCUUCGCUGUUUCCCUUUGGAGAAGCAAAAGAAACGGUGCCCCUCGCGGUUUCUGCGUUUCCCCCGCGUUGCCAGCGUCCACUCGCGCCGCGCCCCUCGCCUGGAGCCGCCCCUCCCAAGGGCGAUAACCCCGAGGGCAACGGCCGCGGGCGGCGCUGCGGUGGCAAUGGCGGCGCCCCCUGCACCAGCCACCGAGGGGUCCCCGCAACCGGAGCCGCACGUCCGGGAGCCCGGCCCGGGGAGCGCCAGACGAGGGCGAGAGGACAGCAGAGCCAGUCGCCUCUCAUUCUGUACGAAGGUGUGCUAUGGCAUUGGUGGAGUCCCCAACCAGAUAGCCUCUAGCGCCACAGCCUUUUACCUGCAGCUCUUCCUGCUUGAUAUAGCACAGAUCCCUGCCGCCCAGGUGUCACUUGUUCUGUUUGGGGGAAAAGUGUCUGGGGCAGCUGCUGACCCUGUGGCUGGGUUCUUCAUCAACAGGAGCCAGAGGACGGGGUCUGGACGGCUCAUGCCUUGGGUGCUGGGCUGCACCCCCUUCAUCGCCCUGGCCUACUUCUUCCUGUGGUUCCUGCCCCCCUUCACCAGCCUGCGAGGCCUCUGGUACACCACCUUCUACUGCCUGUUCCAGGGCCUGGCCACGUUCUUCCAGGUACCCUACACGGCGCUCACCAUGCUGCUGACCCCCUGCCCAAGGGAGCGCGACUCGGCCACUGCCUACCGGAUGACUGUGGAGAUGGCGGGAACACUGAUGGGGGCCACUGUCCACGGGCUCAUCGUGUCUGGCGCCCACAAACACCACAGGUGCGAGGCCACUGUGACCCCGGGGCCAGUCACCAUCUCCCCCAAUGCGGCCCAUCUCUACUACAUUGCGGCUGCCGUGGUUGCGGUGACUUACCCCGUGUGCAGCAGUUUACUGUGCCUAGGGGUGAAGGAGCGGCCAGACCCCUCCACCCCAGCCUCAGGCCCAGGCUUGAGUUUCCUGGCUGGGCUGGGCCUCACUACCCGGCACCCGCCCUACCUGAAGCUGGUGAUCUCCUUCCUGUUCAUCUCUGCUGCUGUUCAGGUGGAGCAGAGCUACCUGGUCCUGUUCUGUACACAUGCCUCCCAGCUACACGACCACGUCCAGGGCCUGGUGCUAACCGUCCUGGUCUCAGCCGUGCUGAGCACCCCGCUGUGGGAGUGGGUUCUCCAGCGCUUUGGGAAGAAGACGUCAGCCUUCGGGAUCUCUGCGAUGGUGCCCUUUGCGAUCUUGCUGGCUGCUGUGCCCACAGCACCUGUGGCUUAUGUCGUGGCCUUUGUAUCUGGCGUGAGCAUUGCUGUGUCCUUGCUGCUACCCUGGUCCAUGCUGCCAGACGUGGUGGAUGACUUUCAGCUGCAGCACCAUCACGGGCCAGGCCUGGAGACCAUCUUCUACUCCUCCUACGUCUUCUUCACCAAGCUGUCUGGUGCAUGUGCCCUGGGCAUCUCCACCCUCAGUCUGGAGUUCUCGGGGUACAAGGCAGGGGCCUGCAAGCAGGCAGAGGAGGUAGUGGUCACCCUCAAGGUCCUCAUCGGUGCCGUGCCCACUGGCAUGAUCCUUGCUGGGCUCUGCAUCCUCAUGGUCGGCUCCACUCCAAAGACGCCCCGUCAGGACGCCUCCAGCCGGCUGAGCCUUCGGAGGAGGACCAGCUACAGCCUGGCGUAAAGCUUGAGAGGGGGACUGUGAAUGGACACAGGAGCCAGCACCCUUGGGGUCUGACAUCGCCCUCCUCCACCCUUCAGCACCCGGCCUGGCAGUUUAGCACUCGGUCUUUUUCCCUGGGAUGUGGAGUCUUUGGCAACAUGUCCUGAAGGGACUGGCCUGUGCUUCAGGACCCCACUUGGCACUUCUUGUCUGUUGCCUUCAGACUAUCUCAGAUAGACCUGUGUCCCUGACUAGGCCAGUAGCACCUGCCUCUAGAAAAAGGAAGCUCCUGCCCAACCUGGCUUGUGGACCCUGUGGGAGCCCCAGGCCCAACAACCUGCGUGGACAGCAAAGCUCCCUGACAGAAGGACAGACACAAGGACUCUUGUUUGUCCCAGGGCUCCAGUGGACAUCUGCUGAGGACACAGAGAGGUUCAGCUCUCCUGAGCCCACAGCUAGGCCCCGUCCACUAAAGAUCUUCAGCCGUCUCUGAGGAGCAAUCCCCCUGAGGCCCAGAACUCAGGUUUGUCCUUAGAUAUGACGCAGUCCUCAGAGCUGAAAGCAUCUCACUGCUUCCACAAACACGGUGGCAGAAGGAACCCGACCUCGCCGGGGGCGUGUGGGGUCUGACCCGGUCUUUCUGAUGCCUCAACUCUCUGGCCCUUAUGACACUGACAUGAGUAUCUGGUUCCUGAGGUCACAGGGCACCAGAGAAAGAGCUGGGCUCAGCUUCUCUGCACUGCCCUUUCUGACAGGAAGCUCUGCCUCCCCGUACUGUGCAUGGACACAAACACACACACACAAGCAAGCACACAUGCAUGCUACUGAAAACAGGAGAGAACGUUUCUUAAUGCUGGGAUAUCACGCGUCACAUGGAAACAGUACCCGGCAAGACAGAAGGCAAUGUAGUUUCUACCAUGUUAUCAUUUUAUGUUAUGCUUUGGCAACCUGGGCAAUGCAGGCAGGAUCAGAAGCUUGUGCCAGAUUCUCUGCUAUCGAUUAUUUCCUGGCAGUGCAGUGGCAGGAAGCAGAGCUAUACGGUGCAAAGGCAGCUACAGGGGCCCUCUGCAGAGCCAGAACCUCCAGGAGUCAGGAGUUAAAGCCCAGAGACAGGAGCUAUCAUGGGCUCGGAGCUGGGCAGAUGCCCUGAAAGGCAUCAUUCCAUUUCUUCUUCACAGCAGCCCUGCUGAGCAUUAUUCUCAUUCUCAGAUGAGGAAACAGGCUUAGAGAGAUUAAGCCACUUGCCCAAGUUCAGUUGCUGGUAGAAAUGAGUCUUUUUGUGUUUGUUUGAAGCAGAGUCUUGCUCUGCUGCCCAGGCUAGAGUGCAGUGUCACAAUCAUAGCUCA